rnacentral:tRNA from 1 species
GGUGGCUCAGUGGUAGAGCGCUUGUCUUGCAUGCAUGAGGCCCUGGGUUCAUUCCUCCGCACCA